ACCUACGGGAGGCAGCAGUGGGGAAUAUUGCACAAUGGGGGAAACCCUGAUGCAGCGACGCCGCGUGAGCGAUGAAGUAUUUCGGUAUGUAAAGCUCUAUCAGCAGGGAAGAAAAUGACGGUACCUGACUAAGAAGCCCCGGCUAACUACGUGCCAGCAGCCGCGGUAAUACGUAGGGGGCAAGCGUUAUCCGGAUUUACUGGGUGUAAAGGGAGCGUAGACGGCUGUGCAAGCCAGAUGUGAAAGCCCGGGGCUCAACCCCGGGAC
rnacentral:rRNA from 1 species